rnacentral:rRNA from 1 species
AAUCAACGCUGGCGGCGUGCCUCAGACAUGCAAGUCGAACGCGAAAUUUCCCUUCGGGGAGAAAGUAGAGUGGCGCACGGGUGAGUAACACGUAGGUAAUUUGCCUUCGGGUGGGGAAUAACAGCCGGAAACGGCUGCUAAUACCGCAUAAUGCAGCGGCUCGACAUCGAGACAGUUGUUAAAGCGGGGGAUCGCAAGACCUCGCGCCUGAAGAGAAGCCUGCGGCAGAUUAGCUAGUUGGUAAGGUAAUGGCUUACCAAGGCAACGAUCUGUAACCGGCCUGAGAGGGCGGUCGGUCACACUGACACUGACAUACGGGUCAGACUCCUACGGGAGGCAGCAGUCGGGAAUUUUGGGCAAUGGGCGAAAGCCUGACCCAGCAACGCCGCGUGAAGGAU